AUCCGCGGGACUUGUGGCUGACAAGUUUUCAGUUGUUGAUGUGGCUUUAGUGGAGAUUUUACUGAAUUAAAGCUAUGUCAGCAAUUAAAAAAAUGUCGGGUCUUCAUCGGUUCAAUUU
rnacentral:precursor_RNA from 15 species